rnacentral:lncRNA from 1 species
UGUAAUAUAACACAUAUCAUACUUUUGUAUUUCAAUCAUCAGGCAACAAAUUUCCUCUUUUAUCAGCCUAUUAGUAUCCAUAGAGAUCCAUAGGGGUCCCCGCUACACGUGAACCAUUCACCUUAAUUUUAGGGUCGUCCCCAUACCUCGUCCGGUAUGAGUACCAAAACCAUAAACCUCAAUACCCCGUCCGGUAUGAAGGUGAAGCGGGCCGUCCCCAUACC